rnacentral:lncRNA from 1 species
AUAUAGGUCUUUAGGGAACUACUCAUGUUUUUUUUUUUAACUAUAAACGGACAGCAACUAAAUUCUCCUUCCACUUGGGUGAUCAAGGUUCAAAACUCAUAUAUCUCGUGCCAUCCCAAGAAGCUUUAUGGCUUUACCGCAAAAACUACUUAGGAUCUCAUUUUAAAAGUAACGCGACUACAUUUUUUAGUGCAUUCUCAUUUUAAACUUGUAAUUACAAAGAAAAAAAGAGCAAAAAUGUGCGUCUUACUUUUAUGUAUACUUAGGAACCGAUGCAACGAUUCCAUUAGUUCUAAGUAUUGGCAGAAUUUUGUUCAACAAUAUGGGAUUUUUUGAGAAAGAAUAUAUUAAGGACUCUAUAUGUUUCUAAGCUUAAUUCCAGCCAAAAUUUUGUAAGAACACUUAAAGGUUAUUUCAGACAUCUCGUGCACGUUUUAAUCUUGAAGAUUCAACAUAAUAUUGAACAUUAGGAAGAUUGAUAAGUUUUAGCUAAAUAAAAGUAUUUGAAGACUACUCGAUCGAUUCUUAAUUUAAUAUAUAUAAAGUGAGUAUUUGACACCUUAAUUUGUUAAUUAAAAACAAAAGGAUGGGUAAAGACCAGAUUCAUCUUUUAAUCUCCUUACCGUCCUAAGAAUUAAACUCGAGUGAUUAACUAAAUAAAACUGUUUUAAAAUCACCCAGCCACAUUAUUUGGGGAUAAACCAAUUAUUUUAUCUAUUGGAAGGCAACUUUUACUUGAAACAAAUAUUUUUACUUCACUGUUUGAACACAAAGGAAUGAUGAAAUGGAUUAAAAAUCUAUCAUGGACAAGGCUAAAAGGAACUAACUAAAGCGUAAGUCUCCCACAAAAAUUAUUUGAAAAUCAUUGUAAAUUAUACUCAUGCUUAUUAAAAUGAUUGAUUGCGUAAAACAAAUUUUAAUUAACAUUAUUCCGUAAGGUUUUAAUUUGCUUUGAAAUCAAUUAAACAACAGCCUCACAUUUCUUCCGAAGUUGAAUACUGCGGAUGUCUUGGGGUGGUGAUAAGCACAAAGAGAUCAUGGCAAGCUCGGCCUCCAAUCCAUUAGUAAGUUGCCUAUAGCAAUCAUCAGAGAGGUCUUCAUUCGUUCUUGAAAAAAGCAAAAAUAAUAGGGUAUUGAAAUUUAAGUAAAUUAAUUAAGGGGAGAAAAGAGGAUUAAAAGAUGAAUUUGGUCUUGGGAGAUAAGGAGAGAUAAGAUUCCACUUGAUGAUACAAGACUUGUAUAAAUAAAAGUCACUCAAGUUCGAUUCUUACUUAAAACCAUAAAAUGAAUUGCCAUAGGUGACCAAAUUCAUGUUUUGAUAAAGAUUUAAUGAAUCGAACUCGUUGUGGUAUAUAUAAUUCUACCAGAUAUCUUUCCAAAUCAACAGAUGGCACUAUAAUCAAAACGACUUAAGAGUACAAGACUUAUAUUAAUGAAAUGAUUUUAUUCAAGAGAUGUGAAG